UGGGGAAUUUUGGACAAUGGGGGAAACCCUGAUCCAGCCAUCCCGCGUGUGCGAUGAAGGCCUUCGGGUUGUAAAGCACUUUUGGCAGGAAAGAAACGUCAUGGGUUAAUACCCCGUGAAACUGACGGUACCUGCAGAAUAAGCACCGUCUAACUACGUGCCAGCAGCCGCGGUAAUACGUAGGGUGCAAGCGUUAAUCGGAAUUACUGGGCGUAAAGCGUGCGCAGGCGGUUCGGAAAGAAAGAUGUGAAAUCCCAGAGCUCAACUUUGGAACUGCAUUUUUAACUACCGGGCUAGAGUGUGUCAGAGGGAGGUGGAAUUCCGCGUGUAGCAGUGAAAUGCGUAGAUAUGCGGAGGAACACCGAUGGCGAAGGCAGCCUCCUGGGAUAACACUGACGCUCAUGCGCGAAAGCGUGGGGAGCAAACAGG
rnacentral:rRNA from 1 species